GAGGGUAUAGCUCAAGUGGCAGAGUUCAUGCUUAGCAUGCACGAGGUCCUGGGUUCAAUCCCCAGUACUUCCU
rnacentral:tRNA from 1 species